GGGGGGAAACCGAAAGGGGGCGAAGGCAGCCUUUCUGGCAUAAUACUGACACUGAGGCUCGAAAGCGUGGGUAGCAAACAGGAUUAGAUACCCUGGUAGUCCACGCCGUAAACGAUGUCUACUAGUCGUUGGGUCCCUUGAGGACUUAGUGACGCAGCUAACGCAAUAAGUAGACCGCCUGGGGAGUACGGCCGCAAGGUUAAAACUCAAAUGAAUUGACGGGGGCCCGCACAAGCGGUGGAGCAUGUGGUUUAAUUCGAUGCAACGCGAAGAACCUUACCUGGUCUUGACAUAUCUAGAAUCCUGCAGAGAUGCGGGAGUGCCUUCGGGAAUUAGAAUACAGGUGCUGCAUGGCUGUCGUCAGCUCGUGUCGUGAGAUGUUGGGUUAAGUCCCGCAACGAGCGCAACCCUUGUCCUUAGUUACCAGCGGGUUAAGCCGGGAACUCUAAGGAUACUGCCAGUGACAAACUGGAGGAAGGCGGGGACGACGUCAAGUCAUCAUGGCCCUUACGACCAGGGCUACACACGUGCUACAAUGGUAGGUACAGAGGGCAGCUACACAGCGAUGUGAUGCGAAUCUCAAAAAGCCUAUCGUAGUCCAGAUUUGGAGUCUGCAACUCGACUCCAUGAAGUAGGAAUCGCUAGUAAUCGCGGAUCAGAAUGCCGCGGUGAAUACGUUCCCGGGCCUUGUACACACCGCCCGUUCACACCAUGGGAGUUUGAUUGCACCAGAAGUGGAUAGCUUAACCUUUCGGGGGAGCGUUUCACCACGGUGUGGUUGAUGACUUGGGGUGAAGUCGUAACAAAGUAAACCAUAGAGUUUGAUCCCUG
rnacentral:rRNA from 1 species